UUUCUAAAUUUAGUUACAAACAAGUUGAAGUAAUGACUGAAAUAUCUAACCAAAUAUAAUGCCUUAAGUUAUUGAAAUAAUUGAUUAAAUUUUAAUAUCUUCAUUGAUUAUAAUAAUAAAACCAAAUCAAAUGAAUAAAUAAUCUUUAGAUUGUAAAUAAAAUGCCAACAAGAAUUCUGACAAUUUUUCUGAUCGUAGAACAAAAAUGACAGAUUCAAUAGCAAUAUGAUAGCCAUGAAUAAACCUUGUAUGAAAAAUAUUAUGAUAUUUUCUUAUUUGAUCCUAUCAAUUAAAUAAUUACAAUAAUAAAACAAAUGUGUGAAAUAACAUAUUAGUUAUUACUAAUUUUAACUACAAUCAAACUUGAUACCCACUACUUUAUUCUUUUGAAGUUAAAUUAAUUCUGCUUUUUUUUUCUUUAUUCUUUGUACUAUUCUUGACCUUACAGUUCAUCCUCUCCAAAUUAGGUUUUUCUUUUCUUUUCUUUUCUUUUCUUUUUUAAUUCCAAAUUGGUCAUCCACAGCACUUGUCACUGUCUCCUUCCAUUGUCAACAAUCAAAUCAUUACUACGCUUUUCUUUCCUUUCAAUUUUAACUUAGACAUAAAACUCUAAGCCUUUCAAACUCGGAGCAUACCUUGGUUCAUGCAAUAACCUUAGGAGAUGGCAUCUGAGAAAGUCUGGUGUUUAUAUCCCAGUAUUUGGAAACCCUUCCCCAAUCCCCAAGAUAGGACCUUCUUUGUACCAAGAAAAGAUAUCCAGGCACUACUCUUGAAUUUCUUUCCUAUUUUAUGAUCAAAUCCCUCCUUAUACGUAUUAACUUCAUAAGCAGGUUAAAAAAGUCGAAAAUAUACAUCAAUUGUUUUUUGGUUCUUUUCUCAUAGUAAAUAUUCAACAUGCUAGAGCUCCAUCCCAUACUAUUUUUUUUUUCCGUCAAAGUAUUUCAAGAAAUAUAUAUUACUCCACGGAAAGAAAAUUUUUCUUUAUAUCAAAUUGCUUUAAGCUACACAGAUAUUUUCUAGUUUGAUUAGAAAUUACUUAAUGUGAUGAAACUACGGACCAAGUAACCAUCCCGAAAACAGAUAAGACACGUUAAGAAACAUAGAAGCUUGAAGGGGUUAGAGUUGUAAAGGUACUAGAAUCUGAACCAUACUGAAAACAUCCCUAGCAUUUGAUAUGGUAGUAUCGUGUUGCUCAACGGAUUUCCCAUAGCAAAUAAGAACUUCUAUAUUUUAGGACCAAAGACUUGCCUGAUAUCAACAGGAAAU
rnacentral:lncRNA from 1 species